UACGGAGGGUGCGAGCGUUGUCCGGAAUCAUUGGGCGUAAAGGGCGCGUAGGUGGCCCGGUGAGUCUUUGGUGAAAGCCCGGGGCUCAACCCCGGAAUUGCCUUUGAGACUGCAUCGCUAGAAUUGUGGAGAGGUAAGUGGAAUUCCGAGUGUAGAGGUGAAAUUCGUAGAUAUUCGGAAGAACACCAGUGGCGAAGGCGACUUACUGGACACAUAUUGACGCUGAGGUGCGAAAGCGUGGGGAGCAAACAGG
rnacentral:rRNA from 1 species